GUGAGGAAUAUUGGACAAUGGGCGCAAGCCUGAUCCAGCCAUGCCGCGUGCAGGAAGACGCAUCUAUGGUGUGUAAACUGCUUUUGUACGGGAAGAAACACUCCCUCGUGAGGGAGCUUGACGGUACCGUAAGAAUAAGGAUCGGCUAACUCCGUGCCAGCAGCCGCGGUAAUACGGAGGAUCCAAGCGUUAUCCGGAAUCAUUGGGUUUAAAGGGUCCGUAGGCGGUGUAAUAAGUCAGUGGUGAAAGCCCAUCGCUCAACGAUGGAACGGCCAUUGAUACUGUUAGACUUGAAUUACAAGGAAGUAACUAGAAUAUGUAGUGUAGCGGUGAAAUGCUUAGAUAUUACAUGGAAUACCAAUUGCGAAGGCAGGUUACUACUUGUGGAUUGACGCUGAUGGACGAAAGCGUGGGGAGCGAACAGGAUUAGAAACCCGUGUGUCC
rnacentral:rRNA from 1 species